AUACGUAGGUGGCAGGCGUUGUCCGGAUUUACUGGGUGUAAAGGGCGCGUAGGCGGGAUAGCAAGUCAGGAGUGAAAUCUAUGGGCUUAACCCAUAAACUGCUUUUGAAACUGUUAUUCUUGAGUAUCGGAGAGGCAGGCGGGAUUUCCUUUGUAGCGGGGGAACGCGUAGAUAUUAGGAGGAACACCAGUGGCGAAGGCGGCCUGCUGGACGACAACUGACGCUGAGGCGCGAAAGCGUGGGGAGCAAACAGGAUUAGAUACCCUGGUAGUCCACGCUGUAAACGAUGAAUACUAGGUGUGGGGGGACUGACCCCUUCCGUGCCGCAGUUAACACAAUAAGUAUUCCACCUGGGGAGUACGAUCGCAAGGUUGACACUUAAAGGAAUUGACGGG
rnacentral:rRNA from 1 species